UACAUGCAAGUCGAACGCACCACUUCGGUGGUGAGUGGCGAACGGGUGAGUAACACGUAGAUAACCUGCCCUUAAGACGAGGAUAACCGUUGGAAACGAUGGCUAAAACUGGAUAGGAAUAUUGAAGGCAUCUUUAAUAUUUUAAAAGACCUAGUAAUAGGUAUACUUAAGGAGGGGUCUGCGGCGCAUUAGUUAGUUGGUGAGGUGAUGGCUUACCAAGACGAUGAUGCGUAGCCGGACUGAGAGGUUGAACGGCCACAUUGGGACUGAGAAACGGCCCAAACUCC
rnacentral:rRNA from 1 species